UCCCUGUUACCAGGGCAGUCUAGCUAGAGAAAUUCAACUAACUAUAAGGGUUGCGCUCGUUGAUGGACUUAACCAAACAUCUCACGACACGAGCUGAAGACGGCCAUGCAGCACCUGUCUCUCGGUUCCCGAAGGCACCAAGUCAUCUCUGACAAGUUCCGAGGAUGUCAAGACCAGGUAAGGUUUUUCGCGUUGCAUCGAAUUAAUCCACAUAAUCCACCGCUUGUGCGGGUCCCCGUCAAUUCCUUUGAGUUUUAACCUUGCGGCCGUACUCCCCAGGCGGUCAACUUCACACGUUAGCUUCGUUACCAAGGAAUUGCUUCCCCGACAACCAGUUGACAUAGUUUAGGGCGUGGACUAC
rnacentral:misc_RNA from 1 species